rnacentral:rRNA from 1 species
UCAAGAAACUUCCACAAUGGGCGAAAGCCUGAUGGAGCGACGUCGCGUGAUGGACGAAGUGCUUCGGCACGUAAACAUCUUUUAUGUGGGAUGAAAUUAUUGACAGUACCACAUGAAUAAGGGGCUCCUAACUCUGUGCCAGCAGGAGCGGUAAUACAGAGGCCCCAAGCGUUAUCCGGAAUCACUGGGCGUAAAGGGUGUCGAGGCGGUUGUAUUAGUCGUUCGUAAAAUCUACGAGCUUAACUUGUAGGCGGCGAACGAAACGGUACGACUUGAGGUUUGGAGAGGUGCGUGGAACUCACGGUGUAGCGGUGAAAUGCGUAGAUAUCAAGAGGAACACCUGAGGUGAAGACGGGUUGCUGGGCUGACACUGACGCUGAGGCGCGAAAGCCAGGGGAGCAAACGGGAUUAGAUACCCUGGUAGUCCCUGAGCGGGCUGGCAAGGCGCAU